UACAGAGGUCUCAAGCGUUGUUCGGAUUCAUUGGGCGUAAAGGGUGCGUAGGCGGCGCGGUAAGUCGGGUGUGAAAUCUCGGAGCUUAACUCCGAAACUGCAUUCGAUACUGCCGUGCUUGAGGACUGGAGAGGAGACUGGAAUUUACGGUGGAGCGGUGAAAUGCGUAGAGAUCAGGAAGAACACCAGUGGCGAAGGCGCUCUGCUAGGCCGUAACUGACACUGAGGGACGAAAGCUAGGGGAGCGAAUGGG
rnacentral:rRNA from 1 species